rnacentral:rRNA from 1 species
UAGGGAAUUUUCGUCAAUGGGCGCAAGCCUGAACGAGCAAUGCCGCGUGAACGAGGAUGGUCUUCGGAUCGUAAAGUUCUGUUGAAGGGGAAAAAGAGCGGAGAGAGGAAAUGGUCUCCGAUUGAUAUUACCCUUCGAGGAAGUCACGGCUAACUACGUGCC